rnacentral:pre_miRNA from 1 species
UAAAUACUCCCUCCGUUCGGAAUUACUUGUCUCGAAAAUGGAUGUAUCUAGAACUAAAAUACGUCUAGAUACAUUCAUUGCUUCGACAAGUAAUUCCGAACGGAGGGAGUAUAAU